UCAGAUCCAGUUGCAGAAGGAGAAGGGCCUUCUACAGGUGCACUGCCAGGACCUUGAAAGACAAGCUGAAGAGUUGGGCAAACAGCUGGAUGAGCAACGGACCAUCUCCCAAGACUGGAGAAACCAAUGGGAGGACAUGGAUGCCGCUUUGAGGACCAAAGGUGAAGAGUUGGACAAAUGAGGGCCCAGAACCAGGCCCUCCAAGCCAAGAAGGCAGAGUGGAGUUUGGAGAAGCAGAGGCUUCAGCAGCUGGUCCGUGAUUUGGAGGAGCAACUUGCUGAAAAGGACCAAGCCUGGAGAGAUCUCAGGCAGACCAGAGAUGUGGAGAGAGCUGCGUUGGAGAUGAGACUUCACCAGAGCCAAAGAUAACAGAGAAGGUCCAGGGACCUCCAAUGAGAAGGGGCGUCCUGCUGGCUUGGAGGGAAAGAUUGUUGGGAACCAGCUGGAAGGUCUCCGGCUACAGCAUCAUUCAGUGACGGAGCAGCUGAAGGAACUGUUUAGGCAGAGGCAAGAGCCGCGAGCCGGAUCCAGUAAGCAUCAGGAAGGGGGAGUCAAGGCAAGGAGCACAAUGCCACCUCAGAACGUCCCGCGAGUGCUGACCACUUCACAGGAAUCCCUCGGACUUCCGUCGGAAGAAAGACACUUGGAAGCUGGAGACGCAUCCAAGAGGGAGGAAGGGGAACAGAGCCUUCGUCAGCAGCUGGAAGCCAAAACCGAUGUGAUUUCCGCCAUGGCCUGUGAAAUUCAAACUUUGAAAGAGAAAAAUGAGAACUUAAUACAAGCCAACUGAGAUUCCAGGAACAGAUUCAACACAUCCGCCAGCUUUCCAAGCGACCGCCGGGGAAAGAGGUGCAGGUUCCAAGACUUCCCACCAGCCUCGGAGAGGAUGGGCAAAGGGCUCAUUGCCAUGAGAUUCUGGAGGUUUCCUCGCGGAAGGAUGGCUCCUUGCUCUUCCCAUCACGUAAAGAUAGAGGAAGAGUUUCAAGCCUGCACCGAGGAAGAGCAAAAGGACACCUCUUCGAACAUCAGGAGGGCGCAAAGUCAGCCCUCGCUUCUCCCUUCUGGCCCAUCUCUUCAAUCGCUGGGACCCUCUCUGAUACAUCUUCAGCAUCCCACAAAAUUUAUUAGCCCCCACAGCUUCUCCUAAAUCCCCCCUAAAGCAUGUGCAGGAUGAGGAGCUUUGCUCAGACCCUGCAGCCCACAGCUUUUGUCCCCAAGCCUUUUGGGCCCCCCGAACCAUGGUCCCCUUUCCGAGUAGGGCCGAAUCGCCGGAGAAUGGAGAAUUGU